rnacentral:rRNA from 1 species
AACGAACGCUGGCGGCAUGCCUAACACAUGCAAGUCGAACGAGACCUUCGGGUCUAGUGGCGCACGGGUGCGUAACGCGUGGGAACCUGCCCUUAGGUUCGGAAUAACUCCCCGAAAGGGGUGCUAAUACCGGAUAAUGUCUUCGGACCAAAGAUUUAUCGCCUUUGGAUGGGCCCGCGUUGGAUUAGCUAGUUGGUAGGGUAAAAGCCUACCAAGGCGACGAUCCAUAGCUGGUCUGAGAGGAUGAUCAGCCACACUGGGACUGAGACACGGCCCAGACACAGCCGGGGAGCAGCAGAGGGGAAUAGUGGAGAAGGGGCGAAAGCAGGAACCAGCAAUGCCGCGGGAGAGAAGCAAGCGGUAGGGAGGUACAGCUCUGGUACACGGGAGGAUAAUGACAGUACCGGGUGAAUCAGAGCGGGCGAACACCGUG